GGCUGAAACUCGCCUAUAUGAAGUCGGAAUUGCUAGUAAUCGCGGAUCAGCAUGCCGCGGUGAAUACGUUCCCGGGCCUUGUACACACCGCCCGUCACACCAUGAGAGUCGAUAACACCCGAAGCCUGUAGUCUAACAGCAAUGAGGACGCAGUCGAAGGUGGGAUUGAUAAUUAGGGUGAAGUCGUAACAAGGUAGC
rnacentral:rRNA from 1 species